AUCUUUCCCAUACUUAUCACGAAGAUUUAUUGAACAUCUAAAAACACCACCAAAGCCAACAUCCUCACCAAAAAGUAAAGCACUUCCGUCCUCUUCCAAAGCAUGAUCCAUGGCACUGUUUAUAGCUUGGAACAUGUUCAUUUUCUGAACUCCGUGUGAUGCUACUUUUUUUACAUU
rnacentral:sRNA from 1 species